rnacentral:rRNA from 2 species
GCUGGCGGCGUGCCUAAUACAUGCAAGUCGAGCGAACAGAUGAGAAGCUUGCUUCUCUGAUGUUAGCGGCGGACGGGUGAGUAACACGUGGGUAACCUACCUAUAAGACUGGGAUAACUCCGGGAAACCGGGGCUAAUACCGGAUAAUAUUUUGAACCGCAUGGUUCAAUAGUGAAAGACGGUUUCGGCUGUCACUUAUAGAUGGACCCGCGCCGUAUUAGCUAGUUGGUAAGGUAACGGCUUACCAAGGCGACGAUACGUAGCCGACCUGAGAGGGUGAUCGGCCACACUGGAACUGAGACACGGUCCAGACUCCUACGGGAGGCAGCAGUAGGGAAUCUUCCGCAAUGGGCGAAAGCCUGACGGAGCAACGCCGCGUGAGUGAUGAAGGUCUUCGGAUCGUAAAACUCUGUUGUUAGGGAAGAACAAAUUUGUUAGUAACUGAACAAGUCUUGACGGUACCUAACCAGAAAGCCACGGCUAACUACGUGCCAGCAGCCGCGGUAAUACGUAGGUGGCAAGCGUUAUCCGGAAUUAUUGGGCGUAAAGCGCGCGUAGGCGGUUUCUUAAGUCUGAUGUGAAAGCCCACGGCUCAACCGUGGAGGGUCAUUGGAAACUGGGAAACUUGAGUGCAGAAGAGGAGAGUGGAAUUCCAUGUGUAGCGGUGAAAUGCGCAGAGAUAUGGAGGAACACCAGUGGCGAAGGCGGCUCUCUGGUCUGUAACUGACGCUGAUGUGCGAAAGCGUGGGGAUCAAACAGGAUUAGAUACCCUGGUAGUCCACGCCGUAAACGAUGAGUGCUAAGUGUUAGGGGGUUUCCGCCCCUUAGUGCUGCAGCUAACGCAUUAAGCACUCCGCCUGGGGAGUACGACCGCAAGGUUGAAACUCAAAGGAAUUGACGGGACCCGCACAAGCGGUGGAGCAUGUGGUUUAAUUCGAAGCAACGCGAAGAACCUUACCAAAUCUUGACAUCCUUUGACCGCUCUAGAGAUAGAGUCUUCCCCUUCGGGGGACAAAGUGACAGGUGGUGCAUGGUUGUCGUCAGCUCGUGUCGUGAGAUGUUGGGUUAAGUCCCGCAACGAGCGCAACCCUUAAGCUUAGUUGCCAUCAUUAAGUUGGGCACUCUAAGUUGACUGCCGGUGACAAACCGGAGGAAGGUGGGGAUGACGUCAAAUCAUCAUGCCCCUUAUGAUUUGGGCUACACACGUGCUACAAUGGAUAAUACAAAGGGCAGCGAAUCCGCGAGGCCAAGCAAAUCCCAUAAAAUUAUUCUCAGUUCGGAUUGUAGUCUGCAACUCGACUACAUGAAGCUGGAAUCGCUAGUAAUCGUAGAUCAGCAUGCUACGGUGAAUACGUUCCCGGGUCUUGUACACACCGCCCGUCACACCACGAGAGUUUGUAACACCC